ACUAAGUCCACAAUGAGGUUCGUGACGAUAAACGAAGUCCAAUGAGCCCAAGAUCAGCCAAAACAAAGACUGAAUGAAAAAGUUACGAUCAAAGGAAGUCCAUACAGAGAUCAAAGUGGUGGAGGCUGGUGGCGGCCGGCGAUGGGCCGAUGGAGCGAGCAUGCGAGGUGGCAUGCAAGCCAGCUGCGAGUGCAUGGCCCAGCAUGCACAAUGCACAGCCCAGGCAAAGGCAGGUGCACGCGGGCGCGGGCCGCAUGGGACUCUCACACGAUCCAUGAGCGAUGCAUGGAUCGACGGUCC
rnacentral:lncRNA from 1 species